rnacentral:rRNA from 1 species
UACGAAGGGGGCUAGCGUUGUUCGGAAUCACUGGGCGUAAAGCGCACGCAGGCGGAUUGAUAAGUCAGGGGUGAAAUCCCGGGGCUCAACCUCGGAAUUGCCUUUGAUACUGUCUGUCUUGAGUUCGGGAGAGGUUGGCGGAAUCCUAGUGUAGAGGUGAAAUUCGUAGAUAUUAGGAAGAACACCAGUGGCGAAGGCGGCCAACUGGCCCGAUACUGACGCU